rnacentral:rRNA from 1 species
UACGUAGGGCGCAAGCGUUAUCCGGAAUUAUUGGGCGUAAAGAGCUCGUAGGCGGUUUGUCGCGUCUGCCGUGAAAGUCCGGGGCUCAACUCCGGAUCUGCGGUGGGUACGGGCAGACUAGAGUGAUGUAGGGGAGACUGGAAUUCCUGGUGUAGCGGUGAAAUGCGCAGAUAUCAGGUGGAACACCAGUGGCGAAGGCGGUGUUCUGGGCCAGUACUGACGCUGAGGCGCGAAAGCGUGGGGAGCGAACAGG